UACGUAGGGUGCAAGCGUUAAUCGGAAUUACUGGGCGUAAAGCGUGCGCAGGCGGUUGUGUAAGUCUGUCGUGAAAUCCCCGGGCUCAACCUGGGAAUUGCGAUGGAAACUGGCGGGCUGGAGUGUGGCAGAGGGGGGUGGAAUUCCACGUGUAGCAGUGAAAUGCGUAGAGAUGCGGAGGAACACCGAUGGCGAAGGCAGCCCCCUGGGCUAGCACUGACGCUCAGGCACGAAAGCGUGGGGAGCAAACAGG
rnacentral:rRNA from 1 species